rnacentral:misc_RNA from 1 species
GCAAGCAUGUGCGCUCGCGCACACGUGCUCGUACACGCGAUCCCCACAGCCGCCCCCAUCCCCAAGCAUUCGCCCCAAGCGUGAGAAAGGGAGAAACCGAAACCAAAAGCGAGAGGAAGCAAAACAAGGCACGUCGCGCACGGUCACAGGGCGCUAACAGCCUGCCUGUGCCUGUGCCUGUGCCCGUGCCCGUGCCCGUGUGCGUAGUCGCGCAUCCGGUGGAGCAUUCGAGGGCGCGAGAAUGUUGGUUGGGUGUCGGCGUUAAUCACACACACACACACGCGUGCGCGCAAGCAAGCACGUCUUUGUCUCAGUCCCGCACGCUCUGUCGGUGUGCAAGCUGGGGUGUUAUUCUUGUCACCUUCGUCCUCCUUCCUUCUGUCGGUCUUUCCCCCAACGCAGGAUCGCUUGCCUGCUGUCCCGCUUUUAGGUGUGUGUGCGGGGUCCCUCUCUGGCUGCUCGUUGGAUCGUUGCCAAGCCACUCCUUGUGCCUCCCUGUGUGUGAGGACACCCUCUUCGCCAGCCUUGACCCCCGCGUCGAUCAUUUUCAGUUUUCCGUCGCAGAAGAUUCACAGGUAACCCACGCACAUAGUCAUGCUGAAUCAUCGCGUUGUGCUCUUCGCGGCUCCUAUGCACGGGGUGGAGCUGGCAGGACUGCUGUUCACCGACUACCUCCGCAGCUCGCUGUUCCAGAUGGACAUUGCCGAGGCACUGAGCGACGUCAACGGAUGGUUUUCCUUCUUUCGAAGCGGCUUCAGUCCUUCCACGCUCCUGAGCUUCUACAGCCGGCUCAUCAGCGAAAGGCUGUUCUUCCGGCUUCUGGAGUGCGGGGUGUCAGUGUUGUGCAUGUACAGCGAGUCGAGGCUGUGCCAGGACGCGCUUGUGUUUCAAUACGUGUACCCCAUUGUGCGCGACUACCGCUACGGUCGUCUGUGGUGCACGCGGCUACUUCGCUUCGUGGGGGGGCUCCUCUAUCCAAGCUUCCUGCGACAGUCCAGAGGGGGUUUCAGUGCGAGUAGCGGCAGCAGCGGCACCUCACGCGUCACCGCGAACAGUUUGACAAGAGGCGGCUCCGCCUCCAGCGCGACACCGCGGCCUUUCUCACAGUCGGGCUUGGUGGACGUUGACGUGGCCUUCUACCGCAACCCGCCGCGGCCCUCGCGGGUGAAGCCGUUUGAUGGGAUGCCGGAGCCCUGCCAGGAGGCGCUGCGCUACUACCUCCACUGCUACCAGUCACGCCCUCUCUACACCAUCUUCGUCAGCGGCUUCAUCGCGGACGUGACGCUCCUCGUGACGGAGCAGAUCAUCUGGGGCUCGUACUUUUGCCAAGAGCGCGCAAAGCGAACCUCGCGCUGGCGAACUCUGAAGCCCUACUUCGCUGACCUGGCGGCGGUGUCGGUGCAAACGACUUUGGUGUACGCGGCUCGCGCAUUAGGCGUCUUGCUUGGGCAGAAGCUCUCGCGCGAGCCCACCGGCGGCGGCAUUUUCUGGGGAGAACGCGUGACGCUGCUGCUGCUGUCGCCCGGCAUUCAGCAUGUGAGCCUCAUCGCGGGGCGCGCUGUUCGAGACGCCCUCGAGCGCCGCCACCCCCGCACCGUCGAGGACGAGUUGGAGGACAAGCGAGUCGAAGAAGAAGCCGAGGAGGCUGCGCGGGCUCAGGCCGCUGCAGCUCACGCCGCGUUCGCCUUCACGUCUGUCCCCCUCGGCAGCGCCUCCAGGCGUGCGGCGAACGGUCCUGGCGGUGCCGGUGUAGGAGGAGGCGCUCGGGAUGCAGGCCACGGCGGAAUCUGUGAGCGCGAGGGCACCAACUACUACGAGGUGCUUGGCGUGACAAUGCAAUCGAAAGUGGCAGACAUCAAAAAGGCGUACCGGGCGAAGGCGCUGCUCAAUCACCCCGACCGUGUCGGCAAGGACCCGGUGGCGCAGGAGCAGGCGCGACAGCAGAUGUCGGCCAUCAACGAGGCCUACGACACGCUUCUGGACACUGAGAAGCGCGCGCAGUACGACGCGAUGCGCCGCUUUUCUGAAGGCCCUGAAUUUCUCAAGAGGCUUGAAUCCAUGACAACAGCACAGCUGGUUGCAGUGAGCACGGUGGUCGUAUUAUGCUUAGGUACGCUGACUGCUGCGUCGGCGUACGGUCAGUAUCUAACCAUCUUUCAGCGGAUGACGUCGUUGGGACGCGGCCCGCUGAUGCUGUUCUCUUAACAUACGGUGUCGCUGUUGCUGUAAUGUGCGAUAUGGAGGAAGGCGCGCAUCGAACGUUCUCCCCCUCCUCAUCACGUCGCGUGAGAGAUCUCGCACGUGCCGCCCGUGUAUUCUCUCGCGUUUCUUCUUCAUACCACACAUCACCAUCCUGACUACCGCCACCAUCUCCAACAGGAGCUGGAUGGGGGAGGAAGCCGCGCCGCCAGCCCGUCAUCUGUUUCGAGCUCCUUGCAAAGGUAUCGGGCAGGGUGCGUGUCCGUUCGGCAAGUUUGUGUCUUGUUGCUUUCUUAUGUUUUGUUGUUCACAGAACGCCUCCACGGUUGCUAUUUGCUUGUUUUCUUUGUUGUUGGUGUUUGUGGGGGAGGGGAGGGGAGGAGGGCAUCAUCCUACGCAUACGUGCGCACGCGCGUGCACAGGCGCAAGCACGUAUGCGCAGAAUGAUGUCUACGCCUCUGCGGAGAGGGAAACGGAGGGGAAAGGGAUGUAGGCGUAGCGCGAAGGUGAAGACGUGCUCGUAACGUGGCAAGAACGAAAAGGAGGAAGGACGAAAAUUGUCGCCCUUCCCAUCCCACACACGCAGACGCAUCGCUCUCGCUGUUCUCCAUCGACAUGCGCUCGUGAGGCCUCUUUUCUGCCAAUGCACGUUUCUCUUGAAGACGGUGGAGCGUGGUAAUCCUGAUGACGGGGUGCGUCAUCUCACUGCGUGAUAUCGCAGGGUUCAGUGCACCCACUGUGGGUGGGGAAGCCGAGCAGCCUCCUCCCCCCUCCCUCCCUAUCCCAGCCACUGCCGAACCACCCCCUGGUGGUGACAGGGCCAGGGUGCCUAGGACGUGGGGAGGUCAGUGCGAUGCAGUGGCACGGAUGCCGGCGGCCAAUCCCUGGACGGCGUGGCGCCGGUGCGACCCGCGACCGUGAGCAUGCUUGCGCCAUCCAUGCGAUGGGCAAGGCGUCAGCGUGAUUCCAACGCGUCUCGCUCGGCCCUCGCACUGCCUGCUGCUGGGGAGGCUGAGUGCCACCCUGCGAGGCGGGUGGGUGGGUAGAGUUUGGGUCAGGGGCCGUGCACAGAUGACUGGGUCGGCGCACUGCUGUGAUGCGUGUCUGCGGCUGCGUUGCACCGCGCGCUGGGUGCCUGUGGCAGGCCCGUGGGUUUUAGAGUGGGCCUCGGCUCAUGUUGUGUGGCAGAGAAGGGGCACCUGGAAGAAAGAGCAUAGUAUCGCGGUGUCCCCCUCAUCACGCCUUUCUCUCCCUCUGCGACCGCACACUCUAGCGCUCACAGAGAAAAAUGGGUAACUCCAUUCGCAGCCGCUUGGCUUGUCAUGGACGCGAAGUGCCGUGUGCGCGACUCGCGGAGCAGGGCUCCUUUCUUUCCCUCUCCCGGCGCCCCACAUGCUGCACGUACGCAAAGAAAGAACAAAUGAAGAUGGAGAGCGGGCGCACACAUGCGCGGGCCACUAGCGUAGCGUGCGAGAUGAGAGAGAUCAAGUGCACGCAUACGUGCGACAGGGGAGAAGACU